rnacentral:lncRNA from 1 species
AGGAAAACACAGAGGAGAGGGACACACAACCCCUUGAUUAUUUGAUUCCUCUCCUUGAAUGGAGGAGACAGAGUUCUCAAAGGACCAGAGGCAGCAGUAUUCCAAAGGGCAGAGCUAAGGUCAAGUACAGAGAAGGAAGGGGACAUUCAAGGCAAGAAGGCAGAGGGUCACAAAUGGAAGAAAGCAGCAACUGGCUGAGAAGUGGGGACUAGGAAGCAAGAGGAAAAAGACUUCAACCUGGAGGCUGGCGAGCCCUGCCAAAGAGCCUGAACCUGUUCUGACUGCUGCCUCUUCCCUGAAGCUAGGCAAGAUUUUCAGGUGUAAAUGCCCAGGGCCUGGUUGCACCCCAGUUUGGCUCUGCUAAAGGUGAAGGCUGGCUCACUUAUGUCUGAGACAUUGGUCUGAGCCCACAUGGCCACAGCAUGAGAAGAGUGGUCCAUGUGGGCUGGGAAGCCCUAUGUGUCCUGGAUCUCUGAAUGUUUUGUAAAACUCUGUUAUUUUUGAUAAAAAUAACAUGUUCAAUGUGUGUUCAUCUGUGUACCUCU